rnacentral:pre_miRNA from 1 species
AAAAAGUGGUUUUCGUGUCCAACAUUUGAUUGUUCGUCUUAUUUGAAAAAAUUAUAAAAAAAAAUAAAAAGAUAAGUCAUGCAUAAAGUAUUAAUUAUGUUUUAUCAUCUAACAACAAUGAAAAUACUAAUUAUAAAAAAAUUUUAUAUAAGACGGAGAGUCAAACGUUGGCACGGAAACCCAGGGUUUGCCCUUUUU